AUUGAACGCUGGCGGCAUGCUUUACACAUGCAAGUCGAACGGCAGCGCGGGCUUCGGCCUGGCGGCGAGUGGCGAACGGGUGAGUAAUGCAGCGGAACGUGCCCAGUAGUGUGGGAUAGCCCGGCGAAAGCCGGAUUAAUACCGCAUACGACCUGAGGGUGAAAGCGGGGGACCGAAAGACCUCGCGCUAUUGGAGCGGCCGAUGUCGGAUUAGCUAUUUGGUGGGGUAAAGGCUUACAAAGGCGACGAUCCGUAGCUGGUCUGAAAGUAGGACCGGCCAAACUGGACUGAGACACGGGCCAGAACCCCAAGGGAGGGAGCAGUGGGGAAUUUUGGACAAUGGGGGCAACCCUGAUCCAGCCAUGCCGCGUGCGGGAAGAAGGCCUUCGGGUUGUAAACCGCUUUUGUUCGGGAAGAAAUCCUCUGGGCUAAUACCCCGGGGGGAUGACGGUACCGGAAGAAUAAGCACCGGCUAACUACGUG
rnacentral:rRNA from 1 species